rnacentral:rRNA from 1 species
GACGAACGCUGGCGGCGUGCUUAACACAUGCAAGUCGAACGGAAAGGCCCUGCUUUUGUGGGGUGCUCGAGUGGCGAACGGGUGAGUAACACGUGAGUAACCUGCCCUUGACUUUGGGAUAACUUCAGGAAACCGGAGCUAAUACCGGAUAAUAUAUUGAACCGCAUGGUUCAAUAGUGAAAGACGGUUUUGCUGUCACUUAUAGAUGGAUCCGCGCCGCAUUAGCUAGUUGGUAGGGUAACGGCUUACCAAGGCGACGAUGCGUAGCCGACCUGAGAGGGUGAUCGGCCACACUGGAACUGAGACACGGUCCAGACUCCUACGGGAGGCAGCAGUAGGGAAUCUUCCGCAAUGGGCGAAAGCCUGACGGAGCAACGCCGCGUGAGUGAUGAAGGUCUUCGGAUCGUAAAACUCUGUUAUUAGGGAAGAACAAAUGUGUAAGUAACUAUGCACGUCUUGACGGUACCUAAUCAGAAAGCCACGGCUAACUACGUG